rnacentral:rRNA from 1 species
GAUGAACGCUGGCGGCGUGCCUAAUACAUGCAAGUCGAGCGAACAGACGAGGAGCUUGCUCCUCUAACGUUAGCGGCGGACGGGUGAGUAACACGUGGAUAACCUACCUAUAAGACUGGGAUAACUUCGGGAAACCGGAGCUAAUACCGGAUAAUAUAUUGAACCGCAUGGUUCAAUAGUGAAAGACGGUUUUGCUGUCACUUAUAGAUGUAUCCGCGCCGCAUUAGCUAGUUGGUAAGGUAACAGCUUACCAAGGCAACGAUGCGUAGCCGACCUGAGAGGGUGAUCGGCCACACUGGAACUGAGACACGGUCCAGACUCCUACGGGAGGCAGCAGUAGGGAAUCUUACGCAAUGGGCGAAAGCAUGACGGAGCAACGCCGCGUGAGUGAUGAAGGUCUUCGGAUCGUAAAACUCUGUUAUUAGGGAAGAACAAAUGUGUAAGUAACUAUGCACGUCUUGACGGUACCUAAUCAGAAAGCCACGGCUAACUACGUG